UAAAAGUGUGUAGCACUUCCCCUUCACUCUCUCUCUCUCCUGCCCCAGCCGUGUGAAGAUGUGCCUGCUUCGCCUUCCAUCAUGACUGAAGUUUCCUGAGGCCUCCCCAGCUAUGCUCCCUAUACAGCCUGCAGAACGGUCGGCUGCCUCCAAUCCUGAGGUCAUCACUCAUCAAGAGGGGAUAAUCCCAGGGACAGCAGGAUCUGCUUCGUUACUUGGAUUUAGGAGCCAGAAACCCAUCAGGCAACUAAACAGUAACAAUGACCCGCCAUUAAACACACUGAGAGAAGAGCAUGAUGAAGAGUUUGUACAAGAAGAAGCCAGGAGCACUUGCUGACAAUGCUUACAGAGACGCAGGCUUCUAUGAGCUCUGCCUGUUGAACUGCAGUAAAAAUAGAUCUCCUUCCCCAGAGAGGCUUGGAUGUGGGCACAAUAUCAGUUCAGACGAUGGUCAAUGCAUGUACUUAAUAGAGUGAAAAGACUUUGGACUGUGAAGUCAGAUUACCUGGGUCUGAAUUGUUAUUCUUCUACUUCUUUGUAGUAUGCUUUCACCACAUUAAAAAUUGUCUGAG
rnacentral:lncRNA from 10 species